rnacentral:rRNA from 1 species
UACGGGGGGGCAAGCGUUGUUCGGAAUUACUGGGCGUAAAGGGCUCGUAGGCGGCCAACUAAGUCAGACGUGAAAUCCCUCGGCUCAACCGGGGAACUGCGUCUGAUACUGGAUGGCUUGAGUUUGGGAGAGGGAUGCGGAAUUCCAGGUGUAGCGGUGAAAUGCGUAGAUAUCUGGAGGAACACCGGUGGCGAAGGCGGCAUCCUGGACCGGUAUUGACGCUGAGGCGCGAAAGCCAGGGGAGCAAACGGG